rnacentral:rRNA from 2 species
GUGAGUGGCGAACUGGUGAGUAACACGUGGGAAACCUGCCCAGAAGCGGGGGAUAACACCUGGAAACAGAUGCUAAUACCGCAUAACAACUUGGACCGCAUGGUCCGAGUUUGAAAGAUGGCUUCGGCUAUCACUUUUGGAUGGUCCCGCGGCGUAUUAGCUAGAUGGUGGGGUAACGGCUCACCAUGGCAAUGAUACGUAGCCGACCUGAGAGGGUAAUCGGCCACAUUGGGACUGAGACACGGCCCAAACUCCUACGGGAGGCAGCAGUAGGGAAUCUUCCACAAUGGACGAAAGUCUGAUGGAGCAACGCCGCGUGAGUGAAGAAGGGUUUCGGCUCGUAAAACUCUGUUGUUAAAGAAGAACAUAUCUGAGAGUAACUGUUCAGGUAUUGACGGUAUUUAACCAGAAAGCCACGGCUAACUACGUGCCAGCAGCCGCGGUAAUACGUAGGUGGCAAGCGUUGUCCGGAUUUAUUGGGCGUAAAGCGAGCGCAGGCGGUUUUUUAAGUCUGAUGUGAAAGCCUUCGGCUCAACCGAAGAAGUGCAUCGGAAACUGGGAAACUUGAGUGCAGAAGAGGACAGUGGAACUCCAUGUGUAGCGGUGAAAUGCGUAGAUAUAUGGAAGAACACCAGUGGCGAAGGCGGCUGUCUGGUCUGUAACUGACGCUGAGGCUCGAAAGUAUGGGUAGCAAACAGGAUUAGAUACCCUGGUAGUCCAUACCGUAAACGAUGAAUGCUAAGUGUUGGAGGGUUUCCGCCCUUCAGUGCUGCAGCUAACGCAUUAAGCAUUCCGCCUGGGGAGUACGGCCGCAAGGCUGAAACUCAAAGGAAUUGACGGGGGCCCGCACAAGCGGUGGAGCAUGUGGUUUAAUUCGAAGCUACGCGAAGAACCUUACCAGGUCUUGACAUACUAUGCAAAUCUAAGAGAUUAGACGUUCCCUUCGGGGACAUGGAUACAGGUGGUGCAUGGUUGUCGUCAGCUCGUGUCGUGAGAUGUUGGGUUAAGUCCCGCAACGAGCGCAACCCUUAUUAUCAGUUGCCAGCAUUAAGUUGGGCACUCUGGUGAGACUGCCGGUGACAAACCGGAGGAAGGUGGGGAUGACGUCAAAUCAUCAUGCCCCUUAUGACCUGGGCUACACACGUGCUACAAUGGAUGGUACAACGAGUUGCGAACUCGCGAGAGUAAGCUAAUCUCUUAAAGCCAUUCUCAGUUCGGAUUGUAGGCUGCAACUCGCCUACAUGAAGUCGGAAUCGCUAGUAAUCGCGGAUCAGCAUGCCGCGGUGAAUACGUUCCCGGGCCUUGUACACACCGCCCGUCAC